UGAGUAACCUGCCCUUAACUCUGGGAUAAGCCUGGGAAACUGGGUCUAAUACCGGAUAUGACUCCUCAUCGCAUGGUGGGGGUGGAAAGCUUUUUUGUGGUUUUGGAUGGACUCGCGGCCUAUCAGCUUGUUGGUGUGGGUAAUGGCCCACCAAGGCGACGACGGGUAGCCGGCCUGAGAGGGUGACCGGCCACACUGGGACUGAGACACGGCCCAGACCUCCGUACGGGAGCAG
rnacentral:rRNA from 1 species